AACCUACCUCUUCGCUGGGGACAACAUUUGGAAACAAGUGCUAAUACCGUAUAACAUUAAUAACCGCAUGGUUAUUAGUUAAAAGAUGGUUUUGUUAUCAAUAAGAGAUGGUCCCGCGGUGUAUUAGCUAGUUGGUAAGGUAAUGGCUUACCAAGGCAAUGAUACAUAGCCGAGUUGAGAGACUGAUCGGCCACAAUGGGAGUGAGACACGGCCCAUACUCCUACGGGAGGCAGCAGUAGGGAAUCUUCCACAAUGGACGAAAGUCUGAUGGAGCAACGCCGCGUGUGUGAUGAAGGGUUUCGGCUCGUAAAACACUGUUGUAAGAGAAGAAUGACAUUGAGAGUAACUGUUCAGUGUGUGACGGUAUCUUACCAGAAAGGAACGGCUAAAUACGUGC
rnacentral:rRNA from 1 species